rnacentral:rRNA from 1 species
CCCUUAGAUGUCCGGGGCCGCACGCGCGCUACACUGAAGGAAUCAGCGUGGCUUUCUCCCUGACCCGAAAGGGUUGGGAAACCCGUUGAAUCUCCUUCGUGAUAGGGAUUGGGCCUUGAAAUUGUUCCCCAUGAACGAGGAAUUCCCAGUAAGCGCGAGUCAUAAGCUCGCGUUGAUUACGUCCCUGCCCUUUGUACACACCGCCCGUCGCUACUACCGAUUGAACGGUUUAGUGAGGGCCUCGGAUUGGUCUCGGCCCGCUCUUUACCGGGCGGCGCCGUUGGUCGAGAAGACGCUCGAACUUGAUCGUUUAGAGGAAGUAAAAGUCGUAACA